GGAGAGAUAGCUCAGUGGUUAAGAGCACUGACUUCUUUUUCAGAGGUACUGAGUUCGAUUCCCAGCAACCACA
rnacentral:tRNA from 1 species